AUGUGUGUCCCUGAUCUUAGCAUUCUUAGGAGUGUUGUGUUAGGAGACCAAUCUUAUCAUAUGGGAGCCACUGUAGCUCGUAGGUUGCAUCAUAAUAGAAAUAAUGGAGAUUUCUUUGGAGGAAUUUAUGCAACCCGCUUAGCUCAUUUUCUUGAGAUAGACAUUCGUGAGGGUGAUACGGAGUUGCCUCCUGCAUAUUUAGAUUAUGACUCUAUGGCUUCGCACCAGUUUGUCGAGAGGCCUGAAUCACCUCUCUUAUAUCGUUUAAUUUUUGAUAAACGACGUGUUUUCCGUAUUACUCUCCCUGCUCCUGCCUUCUUUGAUUCACAGACAAAAGGAAGAUAUGUUAUUACCAGAGAGGAGGCAGAGGAGUACGAGAGGAGAGCGGAGGCAGCUCGACUCCAUGCUGCAGCUCAGCAGGCGAUAACCACUGCACAUCAGUAUGAUCCCAACUAUUCUUCCUCAUCACAGUAUGACCCCAACAACUAUUAUUAUGGAUAUCCGCCAGGCCAGCCGUGGCCAUAG
rnacentral:rRNA from 1 species